rnacentral:rRNA from 1 species
UGGGGAAUAUUGCACAAUGGGCGCAAGCCUGAUGCAGCCAUGCCGCGUGUAUGAAGAAGGCCUUCGGGUUGUAAAGUACUUUCAGUCGGGAGGAAGGUGGUAAGGUUAAUAACCUUAUCAAUUGACGUUACCGACAGAAGAAGCACCGGCUAACUCCGUGCCAGCAGCCGCGGUAAUACGGAGGGUACAAGCGUUAAUCGGAAUUACUGGGCGUAAAGCGCACGCAGGCGGUUGAUUGAGUCAGAUGUGAAAUCCCCGGGCUUAACCCGGGAAUUGCAUCUGAUACUGGUCAGCUAGAGUCUUGUAGAGGGGGGUAGAAUUCCAUGUGUAGCGGUGAAAUGCGUAGAGAUGUGGAGGAAUACCGGUGGCGAAGGCGGCCCCCUGGACAAAGACUGACGCUCAGGUGCGAAAGCGUGGGGAGCAAACAGG